rnacentral:tRNA from 1 species
AAGCAGCUUAGUUAUUAAGCAUGUUCUCAGUGUAAGUGAGAUGCAUUAAAGUUUAUGCUAUGCUC